GACGAACGCUGGCGGCGUGCUUAACACAUGCAAGUCGAACGGAAGGGCCCUGCUUUUGUGGGGUGCUUGAGUGGCGAACGGGUGAGUAACACGUGAGUAACCUGCCCUUGACUUUGGGAUAACUUCAGGAAACUGGGGCUAAUACCGGAUAGGAGCUCCUGCUGCAUGGUGGGGGUAGGAGAGUUUCGGCGGUUGGGGAAGGACUCGCGGCUUAUCAGCUUGUUGGUGGGGUAGUGGCUUACCAAGGUUUUGACGGGUAGCCGGCCUGAGAGGGUGACCGGCCACAUUGGGACUAAGAUACGGCCCAGACUCCUACGGGAGGCAGCAGUGGGGAAUAUUGCACAAUGGGCGGAAGCCUGAGGCAGCAACGCCGCGUGCGGGAUGACGGCCUUCGGGUUGUAAACCGCUUUCGCCUGUGACGAAGCGUGAGUGACGGUAAUGGGUAAAGAAGCACCGGCUAACUACGUG
rnacentral:rRNA from 1 species